rnacentral:rRNA from 1 species
GACGAACGCUGGCGGCGUGCUUAACACAUGCAAGUCGAACGGAAAGGCCCUGCUUUUGUGGGGUGCUCGAGUGGCGAACGGGUGAGUAACACGUGAGUAACCUGCCCUUGACUUUGGGAUAACUUCAGGAAACUGGGGCUAAUACCGGAUAGGAGCUCCUGCUGCAUGGUGGGGGUUGGAACGUUUCGGCGGUUGGGGAUGGACUCGCGGCUUAUCAGCUUGUUGGUGGGGUAGUGGCUUACCAAGGCUUUGACGGGUAGCCGGCCUGAGAGGGUGACCGGCCACAAUGGGACUGAGAGACGGCGCAGACUGCAACGGGAGGCAGCGGUGGGAAAUAUGGCACAAUGGGCGGAAGCCGGAGGCAGCAACGUCGCGUGCGGGAUGACGGCCUGCGGGUUGUGAACCGCUGUCGCCUGUGACGAAGCGGUAGUGACGGUAAUGGGUAAAGAAGCACCGGCUAACUACGUG